UUUAGUGUUAACUUAUAAUCUCUAUAUAACAAAUAUUUGCAUAACUCUAACUCUUGGAUAGUUUAUUUGCCAUGAUUUUUCUAGCAUGAUUAGAUUUUGUAGCAUUCACAAUGUAGUCCUAGCUAGAGGCUUUGAGAGUUUUGUGUAAGGAGAGAAUUUGUGAGAUACACGUGUUAUGUUAACACUUGUGUGAACCUCUUUCAUAUUCCGAGUGAAUUGUAUAAGGUUAUUUCUCUUUAUAUUGUGUACUCUCGUAUGAAUAUAUUGGAUAUUGCUCGUCUCCUCUUGUGGAUUUUAAUUGAUUGAUCGAACCACGUUAAAUAUUUGUGUGUUUUGGUAUAUUUACGUUUGUUUUCUUACUCAUAGUCUUAACUUCUACACGAUACCUAAUUAUUUCGAUCCUAACGCUAAUCAACUACCAAACGACCCUGUAGUUGCCCCUGAAUAUUAUAAUGAAGUAGCAUAUAAUGUAACUCUAUUUAUGAUCCUUAUAUAUGUAUACGUAUAUAUGUAUCUAAGUUCAAAUGGCUUCUUCUCAACCCAUUAUAAUUUACUUUAUUGGAUGUAAUUUUUUCUUAUUGCUAGCUUGUGCUACAAGUUGUUACACAUCAAUAUUUGGAUUUGGUGAUUCACUUACUGAUACUGGAAACUUAGUUCACUUCUAUCCAAAUGGUAAUAAACCUCACAUGUAUUUUCCUCCUUAUGGAGAGACAUACUUCCAUCAUCCCACUGGUCGUUGUUCUGAUGGACGUCUUCUUAUAGAUCUCAUUGGUCGGUAUUAUUUACUUUUUGUUUUAUUUUACUUUCGAUAAAACCAACUAGAAAGUAAAGUAAGACAAACGAUUGAAACAGAAGUAGUGACCUAUACAUUUUAUACUCAAAAAUUUUGUAGCACAACAUUAUGGACUUCCACUUCCACCACCUUCACUUGAUAGAAGAAAUGCUCAAAAUGGAACAAACUUUGCAGUGGUGGGAUCAAGAGUUAUGGAUGCACAAUUCUAUGAGAAGAUGGGAAUUUAUGAUAUAGUAACAAAUGUUUCUAUGUGGGAUCAAUUGAAUUGGUUUAAACAAAUGCUUCCACAUUUAUGUCAUAAUUCUUCAGGUUGCAAAGAGUUUUUAGAGAGCUCCUUAUUUCUUCUUGGUGAAUUUGGAGGCAAUGAUUAUACACAUGCACUUCUUUCACAUAAAACUUUAAAUGAUAUUCUUCCUAUAAUCCCUUUAGUUGCCCAAUCUAUUGCCUCAGGUGCUCAUGUAAGUGUAAUUAUUUAUCUGAUUUAAGUCCUAAGUAUGAAAAAAUUCUUGAUAUAGAGUAUUUCCCCCUAAAUGAGCUCAUAUGUGACAUGAAUUCAGGUUAGUCAGGCUCUAGUGUUCGAUACAGGAUAAUGCGAAUAUGAAUCUCCUUUUGUAGACGUAUGUUUAGAACAAAUAUAUUGUCUCUAUUUAAAAAAGAAUGAUCUGGUUUGUCUUGACACGAAAUUUAAGAAAAUAAAAAAUAUUUUUUAAUAUUGUGAUUCUGAAAUAAAUUUAUGUCAAAUAUACCAAAAAGAUCCUUAAUAUUUAUCUAUUUAUUACAUGUAGGAGCUAGUGGAGCUUGGGGCUAGGACAAUAAUAGUGCCUAGUGUGUUACCACUUGGAUGUUCUUCAUCCUAUUUGACAAAUUUUGAGAGCUUGAAUGAAGAAGAUUAUGAUGAAUUAGGUUGUCUCAUUUGGCCAAAUGAACUUGCUUCCUAUCAUAAUGAACUUCUUCAAAAGGAAUUACAUCGACUUAGAGAGCUUCAUCCUCAUGUCAAUAUUAUCUAUGCUGAUUAUUACAAUGCUUCUAUGAAAAUUUAUCGAGCUCCUCGAAAAUACGGUAAGUUUACUUUAUAGUUGUUAUAAUUAGAGGCAGAGUCAAGACUUUUAUUAAAGGCCACGUUCAAAAUAUGAAAAAGUAUAUUCAUAAACCAUGUAUAAGAGGGUGUUUAGACUGACUUAUUUUCAAGUGUUUUUUUGAGUGUUUGGGAAAGUAAAGUAUUUUCAAAUACUUACUUUUAAGCAAAAAAAAAAAGUUAAGCUAGAAGUUAAAAGUUGAGUAUUGAUUUUUAAACUAUUUUAAAAAGUCAAUUCAAACACCCUCUAAAUAGAGUGACUUUCAACUGAAUAGGGUUCGAAUAAACACCAUCGUCCCUAUUAGGCUCGACCCAUGAAUGCCACUCAAUGUUGUUGCGACAUGGUAAGCAUUCUCCAUUUUUAAUCAAAGGUCUGAUCCAUGGUUUAAGCCCCGAAAAUAAAAAUUACCUCUAGAAGCUAAGGUAUUAUGUUACUCUAUGAAAGAGGAACUUUCUGGUGAGAAUUCAGAUUAAUCAAUCCUCAAUACAUAUGUUGAACAUCAGUGAAAAAACAAAUGAAUGAUAGUGCUAAUACAACUUUACACAACCAACGCAAUUUAAUAUUGAUGUGGUACGGAAAUAAAUAUUCUUGUCCAUAAAUAGAGGUAUCAAAUUUAAGCUUAGAAAAUAAAAUGUCUUUAAUAAAAAAUAUUUUACAUUCUUAAAGUAAAACGUACAUCUUAAAACGUAUACCGAAUAUAUAUUGGAUAAAAAUAAAAAUAAAAAGUGUGCGAACAAAGUUUUACACAACCAACAAUUCAAGUUGUCGUAUACUCACCUUAUUUUAUAAGUUAUAAGAUUCACAAAUUAUAGAUAUUACUUUUGUUUGACAUGAUAUGAUAGAGUAAAAAAAUUAAAAAAAUUGUAUAGAUGUCCCACUACUUUUUUCCACAUAUUAUUGAAAAAUAUAUACCAAGAACACAAAUUUAUAUGAAAAAGAACACUAAAGAUAAAAGGUUUGAUAAUAUGAAAAAGGUUUUAAAAUAUGUGUGAAAUACUUUCCUAAAAAUGAUAUUUGGUCUCUCUCAUCAGCAAGAUUGCUGUCGAAAAGAAAAAACUUUGAACUUGAUUUUAGGCAUAAUACAUAUAUUGGACCCUAAACUUGGGUUCAAAUUUUAACUUUGGCCUCCAACUUUCAUAAUCCAACUUUUAACAUGACAGACACAAUACACGUAGUACACCACGUAUGAUAAAAAAUGACAUGUAGGACAUGGGUGUCUAUUUGUUCAACUUUAUACGAGUUUAAGUGUCGUGUAAAUCCAAAGUUGAAGGACAUAAAUGCGAUUUGAAACCAAGUUAAAAGGACACAUUUAUGUAUUAUGCUUUUUUUUUAGAGAAGAAAAGAAUUCUUUGGAGAAUGAUAUAAGACAAUACAUUUUUAAUUGAAGAACGUGUACUAAACAAAGAAUGAAAGGACACACCAAAGACUCUAACUAUAGAAUAAAAAGACAUACUCUUUCGUUCAAAAACGAAUUCUUCAUUUAAAUUACUUAUUAUUAAUAAAAGUACACACUUUAACGAAGACAUGUAAGUAAGAAUGAAAAGACAAGUCAUUUCAUUUAAAAGACUCUAACUAAAGAAUAAAAAGACACACACUUUCAUUCAAAAGCGAAUUCUUUAUUUGAAUUACUUAUUUAUCAAUAAAAGUACACACGUUAACAAAGACAUAUGUGCUUACAUAUAUAAUUUUACAACAAUGUGUUAUAUUUUAUAGGAUUUUUGAAAAGUGUACUAGUAGCAUGUUGUGGAGGUGGAGGUCCUUAUAAUUUCAAUGUUUCAGCUCAAUGUGGCACUUCUCAAGCAACAAGUUGUGAGGAUCCUAAGCAAUAUGUGAAUUGGGAUGGAUAUCACUUUUCAGAGGCAGCUUAUAAAUGGAUCACAAAAAGUUUAUUGGAAGGCCUAUUUAGUUAUCCUCCUAUGAAGAAUUUGUGUCUUUUUGAUGUUGUUGAGGCCCAAGUUUCCCAAAUUUAGAAAGCCCAAAAAAAUAAUAGCUCUAUAUAUGUGAGUUAUUUUGUUCCUUAUAAAACUUUAUCAUUUGAAUUGCAAAUGUUCAUAUUCUCUUAUUCUAUUUUUUACAAUAAAAAGUGGUAGCAAAAACCUAGUAUAAAUGCAAAAAUUAUAUUUCAGUAAUAGUUAAUGAAGAACUACCUUAUUAUUGGACA
rnacentral:lncRNA from 1 species